GGGGAUGUACUGGCUUCGACGGGGGAUGCGGUGGCUGUGGAAGCGAGUCGAGAAAGCGCCAAGCUCGUAAAAUGACGCACCUAAAUUUAAAUGCUAACAAUAAUAGAUUAGCUGUCGCUGCUUAAUCAGUGACCUCUCUGCCCAUGUAUUCUGCGACGUGGGGUCAGAGAGUCGACCUGCAGAAUACUUGCUUGGUAAUUGAAGGAUAGCUAAGCAGGGAAAUUUAUCUUUCUGGCUUUGAAUGAGCUUGUUUGUGAGCGCAGGAUAGGCGAGAUCUAAAGCACAAACUACACUCGUAGAAACCGCAGUGGUCGCUCUUGCGGACAGGGGUUCGACUCCCCUCAUCUCCAUAA
rnacentral:tmRNA from 1 species